rnacentral:rRNA from 1 species
CUUGGUCAUUUAGAGGAAGUAAAAGUCGUAACAAGGUUUCCGUAGGUGAACCUGCGGAAGGAUCACUAGUGAUUAAAUCGAGCGUGUCUUCAUUGACCGCUCACCCUUCUCACCAUCCACAUACACCUGUGCACUGUUUACCCUGAGCCGGUUUUCCGGUCCCCGUUAUCAUUUCGUACCUCCUCUAAUCUUAUGAAUGUAAACCUUUUAAUAACAUAAUACAACUAUCAACAACGGAUCUCUUGGUUCUCGCAUCGAUGAAGAACGCUUGGAAAUGCGAUAAGUAAUGUGAAUUGCAAAAUUCAAUGAAUCAUCGAAUCUUUGAACGCACCUUGCGCUCCUUGGCAUUCCGAGGAGCAUGCCUGUUUGAGUGUCCUGAAACUCUCGCCCUCUAGAUUUCUUAAUCGUGGCUAGCGGCCUGGACUGGAGCGCUGCUGCUUUGUUGCGGCUCGCUCGAAAUGCAUUAGCAGACCCUUUUCGUACUCGGUUCCACUCAACGUGAUAAGUAUUUCGUUGAGGACAGUUGCACCUGUGCGGCUGGCCGGGAUAAGAAAGGCAUACCUGUCAUCUUCUAAUCGCCCUUGGGCAAUUUUUUAUGAUCUGGCCUCAAAUCAAGUAGGACUACCCGCUGAACUUAAAGCAUAUCAAUAAGCGGAGGA